ACGAUUUAUGGACAUCCAUGGAAAAGAUAUUAUUUCCUGAGAUGGUGAAGUUAGCCAGGUGUGCCAAUAUAUUUCCAGUUUUCUUAUCUAUGUUUGCAGUUGCAGCUUUUAGUGUUUACUCUUAAUAAUAACUUGAUGCUUUGGUACCUCUAGCGUAAGAUAUUAUCAAAUAGGUGAGCUGUACUUGGCAUGUGUCAAAGUUGCUCUGUAUUGUAAAGUAGCCAUAUUCCUGUGUAUCAAAUAUUAAAGCCAACAUAUUUGUUACCCUUAAUAAAAACUUGAUGCUUUGUUACCUCUAGCGUAAGAUAAUAUCAAACAGAUGAGCUGUACUAGGCACGUCACAGUUGCUCUGUAUUGUAGAGUAGAGUAGCCAUAUUCCUGUGUAUCAAAUAUUGAAGCCAACAUAUUUGUCUGAUUCAAAAUGUUAGAAUAUUUUGUUGAGAUUAAAAUAUGAACAUUACAAGGGAGUAUGGUCUCAAGAUUUUGUUUAACUGGAUACCACCCGUUUCUCUAACUGGUGGUCUAGGGCUGUCAAAAGAGUGCCCCAGGAGCAGAAGAGUGGUCUCAAUUCUCUGAUUAUCCUAGUUGCAUGGGAAUUAUGGAAACAUAGAAAUGAUUGUGCAUUUGAGGGAGAGAGGCCAGUAGUGGAGGUAGUCUUGCAAAAGAUUGCCAGCCUUUGGUGUAUGGCUGGAGCUUCUGCUCUCCAGGAGCUCCUUUGCAGGUUGCUUGGUCUUGGUCCUUAAUUUGGGGCAGGCUAGUCGUUGGCCGUUCUUUUUUGUGCGUGUCGCGUCUGUACCUUUCUUUGUUUUUCAAGGGUGUGUGUGGUGGGGUGUUUGGAGGGUUUUUUUUGGCCCUUUGUAUUGUGUUUUUUUCUCUCUUAAUGAAAUGACAUGCAGCUCUCCUGCGUUGUUCGAGAAAAAAAAUUGUUUUAACAUUUGCUCAGUUGUAUUAUUACACUAUCUACUCAUGCUGAUCCCUUUUGGGUUAAUACUCGUAUUAAUGUUUCAUCUACGAGCAUAGAAAAAGAAGCACAAGUGUGGAACUUCGCUCGCAUCCUGAAGGUGAGUACACAACCACCCAAUAUUGAUCAGUAAAUGUUAUUUAAUUGUGCAACUCAUCACUGUUUCUAAGGUCCUCUAGUGGUUCAAAUUAAGCCUUUACAUUUGUACUUCUAUAUAGCUAGUUUAGUCUUCUACAGUUAUAUUAUAGUGUUAAGAGUUAAUCCGUUAACAUUACUUGUGCACUAGCGAUUCAGCCAAUGCCUGUGCGUUGCGAUCAUGAAUAAGUAUACAUCAGGUUCUGAUUUUGAAAAGUAAUUUUACUCUGGUCUAAAAAUUUAUAUACAUAUAAUCAUAUCAAUUGGCUCCUACAUAUACACAUACGCAGAUAGUACAACACUAUGCUGUAAAAUGCUACAUGCGCAUCCUUAAUAAAUCCAUCCAGAAAGAUCUGGAUUGAGUGUGCAUAGAGCACACCAUGACCAUCCCAGCUCCUUGAAGAGUAGAGAUGGCAUUAGUUGUUGCACAAGUUGCCAUAACAUUUUAAUGUUAAGUUGUUAUGUAGAGAACUUUAAGUGAUUGUUAAAUGCUGCACUUCGAUUUAACACAUGCCAGUGCUAAUCAACCUUGUUGCACCAGGAUAAGCAAGGUACAGUUUGGGUUUACACUUUUGGUUAUCUCAGUCCAUCAAGGGGCACGGUCAUGAGUCAAUGCUUGCUGAGUUAUCAUGUGCUGCGCAUUUUUACAGCCUUGCUGUCCCACUAACUAUUAUACGAUGUCUCGUCCACCAGGUAGCAUGAAUGUUGAUACUUUUGAAGAACAUUUUGGCGACAAAUAUCCUACUGGUGUCUGGGGUGAAUUCAAGAAAGAAAUUUAUUCUAACAUAUCUGACAGAGUUGUCGCACUUGCUUCGUUCCAUGGUGAUUUCACAGUGAUGCGCUAUUUACUAUUUCACAUUUAUGUUGAGUCAUCACUAGCUAAUGGCAGUUAUGGUGUCCAGAUAAAUCAAAGUUCUUUGCAUGCACGGGAAUUUUCAUUGACUUUUAUGGAUGUUCGAUUAUUCUAACCUCAGCGAGCUUGGUUAGGGAUCCUGAUGGCGCUAAUGAGAUCGUGAGCAGCUUAAGGGUUGGUACUCCUAAUUUUACUGUGAUUCUCGUUCGUCCAAGACACUGCUUAAGUCUCACUGUAUUGUUUGCAGAUUGAGGUGUUGCUUCCAAACAACAAACGGACUGCAGGGAAAUUGGAGCAUUAUAAUUUCCAAUACAAUGUUGCUCUAGUCAGGGUCAAGAAUUACAAUGUUGAUGGUCGUGGGAAGCUGCCGAUGCCUGAGGUGGUACGAUAUAAUCAAACGGUGGUAGCUGUGGGCCGUUGCUUUGAAUCAGGUUUAUUAAUGGCUGCAAGUGGGAAAUUCAUACCAACCCACAAAGUGCCAGACGAUGCGAAUUAUGAUCUUGGGUACACUACGUGUAAAACCACUAAGGUAGCGCCCUUGCCUUUUCUUUUUUAAUUGCCUACUUUUACCAGAUUAUGAUGUACUUAGCCUUACAUACUUGGCGUCACAACUGACCUCUCCAUAUUACCUGGUUAGGCUGUGAUUGGAGGCCCCCUUGUUGAUUUGGAUGGAAAAUUUGUGGGCAUCAAUUACUAUGAUAUAGAAACAGGAACCCCGUACCUGUCUUUUUCUGAAAUCUGGGAAAUUUUGGAAGGAAUGUUGGAUGAUUUGAAGACAAAUAAGUAAGUGUGGAUUUCUCUUUUGGUAUUCAAGUUGUUAUGAUAGUGCUGGUAUACAGGUUUAGUUUUGCAUGACUGCAAGAUUUGUUUGGACAUUUGAUCAAUAAUCUAGUUGGCGGUAAAAUCAACAUAAUAUCCUAUUAAAUCUCGAUAUUCUGCGUGUUUGACAGGGCGACGAUUGGUGGUCAUAAGGCCCGUGUGGGAUAUGACAUCGAACCACAAAUCAUGUAUGUUGAUACAUCUCAUCGAUCUUACUAUUAUUAUGUAAUAAACAUAUCUUGUUUAGAAAAUUGCUGACCUGAUAUGACGUGAGGAAAUAUAUCAUUGAAUGGCAGCUGGGUAUCGCCUGCCUGAUCCAAGGUGAUACGGAUGAAGAUGAAGUUGAAGAUUAACGUGCAUCCCUAGGCAACAACAGCAACACUAUCUGCAUGCCAUAAGCUCGUUUUAUCUGGAUUGGAUUGCAAUUUCAUGUAUUAUCUUAAUAGAAUAUUUGAACAGAUGUCUGUUGCUAAGAUAAUCUGCAUGCGGUAGCCUGGCUAGGAAGAGAAGUUGUUUGGUUGGUAGCCUGGCUAGGAAGAGAAGUUGUUUGGUUGCCUGCAUCUAGUUUGAGAAUCUCAUGCAAGAGACUGUUGGUUAUGCGCACACACCUCCUAUUUGAUGUGAGAAUACCUCCAUCACUCCUCAAUGUUGUUAAAUCUCAAUUCAAACGUAUUAAAUCAUCUUGGGAGGCAAAAUAAUGAUUAGUAAUAAGUACACCAAGCUAGAAUUUACUAGUUGAUCCAUGGUGUAAGCAUAGCAAAGCAUCUGAUGCACAAAUUCUGAUCUGAGGGGUACAUAAACCACCAGGUCAUCAUGAUGAACUUUAAGGCAAUAACAUGUAUCCAAUCCCUGCAGUGCAAAUUAUAGAAGGAAAAGUGAGGCAUAAGUAGCAAAGAAUCACACGAGAUUUUCAUCCAGUUGCAAGAUCGGGUGAGGAACAAAAAAUAACAAUAAUAAUAAAGGUGCAGGUGCAGUGGGCGAGCCAGGCCAGCCCAGCCAGGUGCGUGGGAGCUUGGCCAGGCCAGCUAGGGGUCUACUGUUAGGCCUGUUUGGUUGGAGGCAAGUAUUUACCUUGUGAAAAAGUGCUGCAUGUUAGUUGCUUGUAAAGUUGAUGGUCUUUGACAGGCUAGGCAAGUUUGAAGAUGUGUUUGUUGGAGUCUUAUGCCUGAGAACACUAAUGAUAUUAUAUUGCAUCUUAGUUAGAGAUUAUGCUUAUAUAUCAAUCAAUUCCUCCCUAUAUUCGUUAUUUAGUAUUUCUAUAUUCGUUAUUUAGUUUUUUAAAGAGAUAUUAGAAUUUCUUUUAUAAAAAUAUAUUUGCUAAAUAUUCUUCUUGUGCUCAUCAAUUUAUAGAGAGAAAAAGAAAGCAAUUGGCUUUGCCUGAGAACAAACUAGUCGUGACGUCGUACCUUUUCUUUUAAAAAAAAACAGAAAAGAAUGAGAAGGGCACAUGACGUGGUAGUGUGCGUUGAUGACCUCCCUUAAUGCCAGGCUAAUCUGCUCAAAAACGAGUGCCGGAGCCAGACGACUGGCGCUAAUCUCCAUCCUGGCACAAGCAGCAGCAUCGGUGCUCAAGACCCCACAACCAAACAAGGUGCAGCACUUCGGCCAAGCAAUUUCAUCUCAGGGUUCAAACCAAACAAACCUUAAUGUAAUCCCUUGCCUUAAGCAAGCAAAGUCUCAAAGCAAGUUACAACACUACACGCUCGCCCAUGCUCUCCACUCCAACACUCUGAUCCUCUUGUGAUAAGCGGCUAAGCUCACUGCUCAUGUCCAAGUUGAACGGCCGCGCUGGAAUGUCCAAUAACCCACUGUCAUCUUUUUUUUUUCUUCGAAUCACACAACACAGAUACUCACAUACACGCACGCACACUUACCUCUAUGAAUACGCACAUAACCCUACCCUUAUAAGCACCUUUAAAAUUAAAGAUUGAGCUGGUAAAUCCUUGAAAUUGACGAAGUUAGCACGGGCGUCUCGUUUACUACUGGAAAAAUUCCGCCUUCAGACUAGUUCAAGAAGUAUUCCUUGAGGUUACAAAAAACAAUGAAAAUGAGUGACUAAAUAACAAUGCCUAGAAGUCCCACCGGAGCACUUGGCAAGUCUGUGGCCUAGUUCCUGAGUGUGUGUGGGUGUUGGUGUCUGAGUUUGUAAGGUUCCUAACCCUUUUUUCUUCUUUAUAUAACAACUUGCAGUUCUCUGCGUGUUCGAGAAAAAAAGUUCACGAACAGAUUUAUUACCAAAGGAGAGACAAGGGAUAAAAAGAAAGUUGGUCGUUAAAGAUGUAACAAACCUCUCAGCUCUGAAAGCCAAGCCUUUCAUCUCUUUCUCAUGGAUAAAAGAGUUAUCUUCUCCAUUUUUGUUUCUGCCAGAGCUAACUAAAUCUGUCAAAUCCGUUGUAUUCUGCAAAGGGCAGUUUCACACCAGCUAUGGCAGUUAAACUCGGUCAUUGAAGCUGCCUGCUGUGACCUUGUCUCAGACAACACAACCUGCAAGUUUUUCAACAAUACAACUAUUAGAACAUAGGAAGAAAAGCGCCAAAAAGAAACUUAACACAAGUUGGAGUCAAAUUUUCAUUGCAAAAGAAAGUUGGGGUCAAAUUUAUGAAAUUAUCUUCAGAUAGUUUCAUGUUCCAGAAAAUAAAGUCAGAGCAAUGGUGGGACAAUCAUAAAAUCAGCUGGCAGGACGAAUGCGGUACCAUCUAUAGCAUAUUUUCUUUUCUUCUGCUACUGUACUUUCUAGUGUAGAAUUGCAACAAUAAAGAUAUAAAUGCUAUAUGGGUAGCACUACAUUUAGGAGGGAAUAAAAAGGAGGUAUCCCAGAAACGCUACAGCACUAUCUUCUGUAGAAUUGCAAUAUCUUUUUUUAUGCAAGCAAAAACAAUUAGCACAUACAAGCCCAACAUCUUAAACUGUAUAUAGCAUAGGAAGAUUUUUCUUCUCUAUUGUGUUUCUGGAUCGAAAAUUGAGUUACUUUAUUCAAAGAUGGCUAAAAAUCAAUACCAGAGAGGAGGAUUGGUACUGAAUAUACAAGUAUAGUAUGUAAAAAAUGGUCCCUUCCCCGUUGAAGCCUAGCAUUUGGCACAGUAUUGGUCCAAAACUAACAACAAAAACACAUUACAGUGUAAUCCAUCUUCCUCGCAAGAUUUGUAACAAUAUCUCCAGAUUUGAAUAGUAUAGGAAAUCUUGGAGGAACACAUUACAGUGUAAACACAUUACAACAAAAAAUAUUAUGCAGCGGGAGCAUAGGUCAUCUGAGGAUGGAGCGGAGGAGGAAGACAAAUCUUGGAGGAGCCGAUUGCAGACUUCAUCACCGCAGCAGAAGCCGCCAGCGUGGGGAAGGAAGGCAUGAAGUAGAGAGCUCAAGGUGGGAGUAACUAGUAAACGUAAAGGUGGAAGUAACUAGUAAACGUAAAGGUGGGACUUCAUCACCGCAGCAGAAGACAGUCAACAGUAACUAGUAAACGUAAAGGUGGGAGUAACUCUUAUUACCUGGUCAUUUUAUUCUGUUCCAGUGUAAUCCUUGUUGCCUGCCACACGAGUUUUUGCUCUAGGUUAUGCCGGGGGGCGCACUUUUUGAAUUUGAUGGGAACUUUGUUGGCAUGAACAUUUUCUGGAAUAUGAAAAGACCCGUAUUCUUGCCAAGGGAUAUAAUUUUUGAUCGUUUGAACGAUUUAUGGAAAUCCAUGGAAAAGAUAUUAUUUCCUGUGAUGGUGAAGUUAGCCAGGUGUGCAAAUAUGUUUCCAGUUUUCUUAUCUAUGUUUGCAGUUGCAGCUUUUAGUGUUUACUCUUAAUAAUAACUUGAUGCUUUGGUACCUCUAGCGUAAGAUAUUAUCAAAUAGGUGAGCUGUACUUGGUAUGUGUCAACAGUUGCUCUGUAUUGUAAAGUAGUCAUAUUCCUGUGUAUCAAAUAUUAAAGCCAACAUAUUUGUUUACCCUUAAUAAAAACUUGAUGCUUCGUUACCUCUAGCGUAAGAUAAUAUCAAACAGAUGAGCUGUACUAG
rnacentral:lncRNA from 1 species